rfam:Nomascus leucogenys chromosome 14, whole genome shotgun sequence.
GUCAGACAUGGUGGUGUGCACCUGUGGUCCCAGCUACUUGGAAGGCUGAGGUGGGAGAAUCGCUUGAGUCCCAGGAGUUCUGGGCUGGAGUGCACUAUGUCAAUUGGGUAUCCACACUGAGUUCGGCACCAACAUUGUGACCUUCCAGGAGCAGGGGACCACCAGGCUGCCUAAGGAGAAGUGAACCAGCCCAGGUUGGAAACAGAGCAGGUCAAAACUCUCAUGCAGAUCAAUACUGGGAUCACACCGGUGAGUAGACACUGCACUCCAGCCUGGGCAACAUAGUGAGAUCCCAUCUCUA